CAUUAUUCCUCAUUCCCCACCCAAGUCUUGGGUUUCUGCUGAGGGUGGGGUGGGGGGGCCUUUCCCUGCCACUUCCUCCACUACCUUCCGGCCUCUGCCCUUCAGCCCUCACCCCAUUUUUUUUGUUGUUGUUGAUGAAAUGCCCCUAGCUAGGGGCUAUGUUUUCUGCUCCUCUGAGCAACAUAAAAGAUAAGGCUUCCACUGAAGAUCUAGGAUAUGCCACUGAUCUGCCCCAACCACCCCCGCCCUCAGGACAUCGACAAGCAGUACGUUGGCUUCGCUACACUGCCCAACCAGGUGCACCGCAAGUCAGUCAAGAAGGGUUUCGACUUCACACUCAUGGUAGCCGGUGAGUCCGGCCUGGGGAAGUCUACCCUUGUCCACAGUCUCUUCCUGACUGACCUGUACAAGG
rnacentral:lncRNA from 1 species